UAGGGAAUCUUCGGCAAUGGGGGCAACCCUGACCGAGCAACGCCGCGUGAGUGAAGAAGGUUUUCGGAUCGUAAAGCUCUGUUGUAAGAGAAGAACGAGUGUGAGAGUGGAAAGUUCACGCUGUGACGGUAUCUUACCAGAAAGGGACGGCUAACUACGUGCCAGCAGCCGCGGUAAUACGUAGGUCCCGAGCGUUAUCCGGAUUUAUUGGGCGUAAAGCGAGCGCAGGCGGUUAGAUAAGUCUGAAGUUAAAGGCUGUGGCUUAACCAUAGUACGCUUUGGAAACUGUUUAACUUGAGUGCAGAAGGGGAGAGUGGAAUUCCAUGUGUAGCGGUGAAAUGCGUAGAUAUAUGGAGGAACACCGGUGGCGAAAGCGGCUCUCUGGUCUGUAACUGGCGCUGAGGCUCGAAAGCGUGGGGAGCAAACAGGAUUAGAUACCCUGGUAGUCCACGCCGUAAACGAUGAGUGCUAGGUGUUGGGUCCUUUCCGGGACUCAGUGCCGCAGCUAACGCAUUAAGCACUCCGCCUGGGGAGUACGACCGCAAGGUUG
rnacentral:rRNA from 1 species